GACGAACGCUGGCGGCGUGCCUAAUACAUGCAAGUUGAGCGCUGAAGGUUGGUACUUGUACCGACUGGAUGAGCAGCGCACGGGUGAGUAACGCGUGGGGAAUCUGCCUUUGAGCGGGGGACAACAUGUGGAAACGAAUGCUAAUACCGCAUAAAAACUUUAAACACAAGUUUUAAGUUUGAAAGAUGCAAUUGCAUCACUCAAAGAUGAUCCCGCGUUGUAUUAGCUAGUUGGUGAGGUAAAGGCUCACCAAGGCGAUGAUACAUAGCCGACCGGAGAGGGUGAUCGGCCGGCUUGGGACUGAGACCCGGCCCAAACUCCUACAGGAGGCAGCAGGAGGGAAUCUUCGGCAAUGGACGAAAGUCUGAGCGAGCAACGCCGCGUGAGUGAAGAAGGUUUUCGGAUCGUAAAACUCUGUUGGUAGAGAAGAACGUUGGUGAGAGUGGAAAGCUCAUCAAGUGACGGUAACUACCCAGAAAGGGACGGCUAACUACGUG
rnacentral:rRNA from 1 species